AUUGAACGCUGGCGGCAGGCCUAACACAUGCAAGUCGAGCGAGCGGCGGACGGGUGAGUAAUGUAUGGGGAUCUGCCUGAUGGCGGGGGAUAACUAAUGGCAACGGUAGCUAAUACCGCAUACCAUCAGAUGAACCCAUAUGGGAUUAGCUAGGAGGUAAGGUAACGGCUAACCUGGGCGACGAUCCCUAGCCGGUCUGAGAGGUGGAUCAGCACCACUGGUACUGAGACACGGCCCAUACGCCUACGGGAGGCAGCAUUGGGGAAUAUUGCCCAAUGGGCGCAAUCCUGAUGCAGCCAUGCCGCGUGUGUGAAGAAGGCCUUCGGGUUGUAAAGUUCUUUCAGUCGGGAGGCGUUACCGACAGAGAAAGCACCGGCUAACUCCGUGCCAGCAGCCGCGGUAAUUC
rnacentral:rRNA from 1 species